rnacentral:rRNA from 1 species
CCCUGGCUCAGAUUGAACGCUGGCGGCAUGCCUUACACAUGCAAGUCGAACGGCAGCGCGGGAGCAAUCCUGGCGGCGAGUGGCGAACGGGUGAGUAAUACAUCGGAACGUGCCCAAUCGUGGGGGAUAACGCAGCGAAAGCUGUGCUAAUACCGCAUACGAUCUACGGAUGAAAGCAGGGGAUCGCAAGACCUUGCGCGACUGGAGCGGCCGAUGGCAGAUUAGGUAGUUGGUGGGGUAAAGGCUCACCAAGCCUGCGAUCUGUAGCUGGUCUGAGAGGACGACCAGCCACACUGGGACUGAGACACGGCCCAGACUCCUACGGGAGGCAGCAGUGGGGAAUUUUGGACAAUGGGCGCAAGCCUGAUCCAGCCAUGCCGCGUGCAGGAUGAAGGCCUUCGGGUUGUAAACUGCUUUUGUACGGAACGAAAAGGUCUUCUCUAAUAAAGAGGGCUCAUGACGGUACCGUAAGAAUAAGCACCGGCUAACUA